UUGGAGGGCAAGUCUGGUGCCAGCAGCCGCGGUAAUUCCAGCUCCAAUAGCGUAUAUUAAAGUUGUUGCAGUUAAAAAGCUCGUAGUUGAAUUUCGGGGUUAGUAGGUUGGUCAUGCCUCUGGUAUGUACUGGUCUCACUGAUUCCUCCUUCCUGAUGAGCCGUAAUGCCAUUAAUUUGGUGUUGCGGGGAAUUUGGACUGUUACUUUGAAAAAAUUAGAGUGGUUAAAGCAAGCUAACGCUUGAAUACGUUAGCAUGGAACAAUGAAAUAGGACGUUCGAUCCUAUUUUGUUGGUUUCUAGGAUUGACGUAAUGAUUAAUAGGGAUAGUUGGGGGCAUUAGUAUUCAAUUGUCAGAGGUGAAAUUCUUGGAUUUAUUGAAGACUAACUACUGCGAAAGCAUUUGCCAAGGAUGUUUUCAUUAAUCAAGAACGAAAGUUAGGGGAUCGAAGACGAUCAGAUACCGUCGUAGUCUUAACCAUAAACUAUGCCGACUAGGGAUCGGAUGAUGUUAAUUUUUUAAUGACUCAUUCGGCGCCUUACGGGAAACCAAAGUGUUUGGGUUC
rnacentral:rRNA from 1 species